GGAUGUGGCCCUUGGGGACAGGCUUUGGGGUGCUGCUGGUGCUGCUGGGGUGGCACUGGGUGAUCCUGGAGGGCUCUGCCAGCCUUGAUUCUUCUGGGAUAUUUAGUGGAGCAAUUUCUGCCUCAAGACAAUGUGGAAUUAUGGUCAGGGUUAAGAUACCAGGACCUUAAAAUCACUCCUGCCCCUCUCCAGUCUCUCCCUUUCCCUUCCCUCCUUUUUUGCUCCAUUUCCCAUUCCCUGCUGCCUCCCUCACAUAGAACAUGAGCAGAUGUUUUUGCUGAGGAAUCUGAAGCUGAGAAAAGCUGGGUUAUUUUUCUUUUUCUAUUCACAUCUCAGCUCUGGAGAAUUAAAUCUGUGGAUUCUUCUGAAGGUCCCUUGUUUCACAUCUCUCUCUGACACAAAAAUUCCCAUUUCAAUGAUUUCCAGACACAGGAGGAGCACAGCACAGAAUACCUGGAAGCACAGGCAGGACAUGACCAAAUGCCUUUAAAAUCCCACGUGCUGGAAUGAGGCAGGAGUGAGGAUUCAUGGAGCCACGGAGGCGCCCGGACAAGCCCGGAUGAGCCCCAGCCUCGAGCAUUUCCCAGCCCCACUUUCCUCCCAGCUUGUUUUCCAUGCUGCCAGCCCCGGGACAUACAAGGUGGAUCGUGUCUCCAAGUGACAUUUCCGGUUGAGCCAGGGCUGCUGGCCCGGAGGAAGUGGGAUGCAGGAAUGUCUGGAUGUGACACUGCUCACGUGAGGAGCCCUCACCGGUCAUUGGUCAUCGGUCACCAGGGACAGCGGCCCCAGGGCCUCGGCCACAGCUUUUCCAGCAUUUUUUUCCAGCAUGAUUGGCUCUGAAUGCACUCAGCUUCCUCCCCGCUCCAGUAUGAGACCUCCACAGCUUUUGCUGCUCUCCUGCCAUUCUCAGACUCUCCCUUUGCCACAGAAUUCCACUUCUGGCUGCUGCUGUGACCCCACAUCACCAGGAGGCUGCCAGGACCUGCAGAACGUGCUCCAGCCUGCACCUCAUCCCUGCCCAUCCCUGAUCCCUGAUCCCCGCCACGUGCGGGAUCUGCGCAGCCGUGCCAGGGCCUGGCUCGGAGCCACAUCCAGGUCCUGCCACUUGUGACUCAGCCCUGGCAGCAAAACUCUGGAUAUCACCCUUUAAUUGUGCCUGGGGAGCAAACAGGGAAAAAAAAAUAAAUCCCCAUUUCUGUGGCCCCGUGUUCACGUUUUGGGCUCGGCUCCAGGCACGCGAGCGCAGCGGUGUCACCGCCAGGACAGAACGAAGGCAGCUGCCACUCCCAUCCUGUGCUUCACAUCCUGUUUCCACCACAGGCUGCCCAUUACGGAGCCCUUGGCCAAGCCAGCGUCACGUUGGGACAGCAAAGGCAGCAGGGGUGGCUGCUGGUGGCACCAGGGCCCGAGCGGUGCCAUCCCCGCACGAGAGCCGAGCGGGGAAAUGAACGUUAGAGACUGGCACAGCCUGAUAAAUGCUGGAAAUAUCCAUGCAAAGACCUUUUUCCCUCCUGGGUUUCACUCCUGGGCACCAUCAGGGAUCAGAGGAAGUGGAAGAGGAGGGCACAGAGUUGGAAAAGUUGUGUUUGCUGCCUUGUCACCACAGCUGGGACAGAGGUGCAGCUCUGGUGACGUGUUGGCCCUUCGGGGCAUCAUUUCUGCUCUGGUGAACUCCUCAAAAUCGACCUGGAGUUCCCAAAAUCACCACAGAAUCCCAGAAUGUUUGAGCUGCACCUUAAAGACCAUCUCAUCCCACGCCCUCCACAGGCAGUUGGGCAUUUCUAAAUCCGUAGGGAUUGGGAACAGCUUGAUGGGAUCUGCCCAGAAAGUCCCAAAAAAUGGAAGCAGGAGGCGUCAGCAGAGCAGGAAUAUUUGGGAUCUGGGGAAGGAUCUGGGUACAGCCACACACGGUGGCCCCAGGCCAGGCCUGGGAUGGGUUGUCCCUGACACUGGAAUUCCUGGGUUCCUCUUCCCCAUCUCCUGAAGAUUCCCAGGUAAAAUGGGUUUAUCUGAGCCACCUGCACUGGGAUUUAAUGGCUUUCCCCAGAGCAGGCACCGAUGCAACUGGUGACCAACUGGGCCCCACUGGUGUGGUCCCUGCAGGAGGUACAGGCUCAUCCUCCUCCUUGAAUGGGAAAUUUAAUGGAAUAAACCCACAAAUACAUCUGAUAAACACAGCAGGUUGGGACAGCUCUUUUCUCCUUUUUGAAAAUUCCACAAUUCUCUGCAAAUCCCUAAAAAAUGCCUGUGGGCAAAUAAAGAGGAGAAGCUGGAGCAGGGAAUGCACUGCCUGCCUUGGUUCCCACUGGAGGAACUUCAGGAGGGAAGAGGAAGCCUGCCCAGAGCUGGAGAAAGGAAGGAUCCUUCAGAGUUCCUGGUGAUUUCUCCAUUUCAGUGACUUCUGGGAGUGGAAAUGAGGAGCAAAAUGCCCACGGAAAAAUCCAGGAGAGGAUUUAAUGUGCACAGGUCGGGUUAAAUAAUUUGUUAUUAAAUAAAGGCUCUGCUUCUAUUGCC